GUGGGAGAGAGAGGGGAGAAGCCAGGCCCCUUGGGUAAUCCGGCCUCGGGGCUGGCUGCUCCGUCAUUUCCAUAACACUGGGGUCACCCCUGCCUAUUGUGUUCCCGAGGCUCCAGUUUUUCGGCUUCCCGGAGGGGCCAUUAUCAUUCACAUUCUUCCGCCGAGAGGUGCGGAUUCAACCGCACAAAAGUGAAACUAAAUGCCCUCCUUACCCCGCUCCCUAGACUCGAGCUGGGGCUUUUCCUUCGGGGCUAAUGCCUACAGACUGUGAGCUCCUGGAGGCCUGGACCAUCUUAUUUACUCAUAUUUAUACCCCCAGGGCUUAGCACAGUGCCUGGCACAUGGACAUGGCGGAGAUGGAUUAGCCAGGAGAGCCUGCCCUAAACAGACACAGAGGAACUCCGGAUCGAAGGCUAGCAUCAAAAGAUAUUGAAAAAACCAUGUCAUCUUGUCAGUUCCUGUUUCAACAUGUUUGACUGUGAAUGCUGGACUUCUUUUCAUUUUAUGCUUAAUAAAAGAACGCGGGGAUUUCUACUCCUCACACAAACAACACAUGGACAAUCCACAAUGUGGGCAAAGCAAGUUGAAAGAAGCUUGCAAGUGAUUUCCUCCCAUGCCUAAAUUAUCAUAAACACUUGUUCCGUUGGCUACAAAUCAUGGCUUCAUCUCCUCCCUCUCCAGCUGCGGCAAAAUCCCACCCGAGAAUCCUUUUUACAGCUGUGCCUUUUCCUACCCCGAACAAAAGGAAUCAGUGAUUCUCUCCUGGAAAUAACAGCUCCAGUUACCAGGCGGUUUGGGGAAGAUGGAGAGCUGCAAGUUUUGGAAGAGUUUGUGGGCUCAUGGGCAAAUGGGCUGAGUUAAAGAAAUGUUCCAAAACUGUUUCUAGGAGAACCCCCAGAAGACACCAGGGUGGGGCAAAAUGAUUCUUCUUGAAGGCUGCUCUCAGAGUCCAGCGUCUAUCCACUGUAUCAUCUAGCUUCCUAUCUGGAAGGGCUUCAGCUAAGGAGUGGUCUUCAGCUGAGUCUUGAAGAAAACCAGGAAUGUCAAGUCUUUGAAGUGAUUACUUUUUUCUGAAUUCAGGUCCACCAUUCUGCCCCUUAUACCUCCUAGCUGCCCUACUUAAUGUCCAGGGCUCUGGCUAAUAAUUUUUGUAAACCCGUACAUUCUA